GAUGAACGCUGGCGGCGUGCCUAAUACAUGCAAGUCGAGCGAACGGACGAGAAGCUUGCUUCUCUGAUGUUAGCGGCGGACGGGUGAGUAACACGUAGAUAACCUACCUAUAAGACUGGGAUAACUUCGGGAAACCGGAGCUAAUACCGGAUAAUAUUUUGAACCGCAUGGUUCAAAAGUGAAAGACGGUCUUGCUGUCACUUAUAGAUGGAUCCGCGCUGCAUUAGCUAGUUGGUAAGGUAACGGCUUACCAAGGCAACGAUGCAUAGCCGACCUGAGAGGGUGAUCAGCCACACUGGAACUGAGACACGGUCCAGACUCCUACGGGGGGCAGCAGUAGGGAAUCUUCCGCAAUGGGCGCAAGCCUGACGGAGCAACGCCGCGUGAGUGAUGAAGGUCUUCGGAUCGUAAAACGCUGUUAUUAGGGAAGAAAAUAUGUGUAAGAAUCUGUGCACAUCUUGACGGUACCUAAAGAGAAAGCCACGGCUAACUACGUG
rnacentral:rRNA from 1 species